GCAUAUCAAUAAGCGGAGGAAAAGAAACCAACAGGGAUUACCUCAGUAACGGCGAGUGAAGCGGUAACAGCUCAAAUUUGAAAUCUGGCUCCUUCGGGGCCCGAGUUGUAAUUUGUAGAAGAUGCUUUGGGUGCGGCUCCGGCCUAGGUCCCUUGGAACAGGGCGUCAUAGAGGGUGAGAACCCCGUCUGUGGCCGGCAGCCUGUGCCCGUGUAAAGCUCUUUCGACGAGUCGAGUUGUUUGGGAAUGCAGCUCAAAAUGGGUGGUAAAUUUCAUCUAAAGCUAAAUACUGGCCAGAGACCGAUAGCGCACAAGUAGAGUGAUCGAAAGAUGAAAAGCACUUUGGAAAGAGAGUUAAACAGUACGUGAAAUUGUUGAAAGGGAAGCGCUUGCAGCCAGACUCGCGGGCCGUCGCUCCUCCGGUGUUCUCACCGGGGUACUCGGCGGCCCACGGGCCAGCAUCGGCCCGGGCGGCCGGAUAAAGGCCGCGGGAAUGUAGCUCCCCUCGGGGAGCAUUAUAGCCCGCGGUGCAAUGCGGCCAGCCUGGACCGAGGACCGCGCUUCGGCUAGGAUGCUGGCGUAAUGGCUGUAAGCGACCCGUCUUGAAACACGGACCAAGGAGUCUAACAUCUAUGCGAGUGUUUGGGUGUCAAACCCAAGCGCGUAAUGAAAGUGAACGGAGGUGAGAGCCCGUACGGGUGCAUCAUCGACCGAUCCUGAUGUCUUCGGAUGGAUUUGAGUAAGAGCAUAGCCGUUGGGACCCGAAAGAUGGUGAACUAUGCCUAAAUAGGGUGAAGUCAGAGGAAACUCUGAUGGAGGCUCGCAGCGAUUCUGACGUGCAAAUCGAUCGUCAAAUUUGGGUAUAGGGGCGAAAGACUAAUCGAACCAUCUAGUAGCUGGUUCCUGC
rnacentral:rRNA from 1 species